GGUUGCGAUCAUACCAGCACUAAUGCACCGGAUCCCAUCAGAACUCCGCAGUUAAGCGUGCUUGGGCGAGAGUAGUACUAGGAUGGGUGACCUCCUAGGAAGUCCUCGUGUUGCAACCC
rnacentral:rRNA from 1 species